UGAGGAACAUGACUUUCGGUGGGGGAGUAGCCGGCCCAACGGCCGGGUAAUACCGCGUACGCCCUUCGAGCGGCAUCGCUUGAUGGGGAAAGUCGCAAGACGCCGAUGGAGAACUUCGCGGCCUAUCAGCUAGUUGGUGAGGUCAUGGCUCACCAAGGCGACGACGGGUAGCUGGUCCGAGAGGAUGACCAGCCACAGUUGGGACUGGAGACACGGCCCAGACCUCCGUACGGGAGCAG
rnacentral:rRNA from 1 species